rnacentral:pre_miRNA from 1 species
UUUGUACUCCCUCCGUCUGGAAAUACUUGUCAUCAAAAUGAAUAAAAGUGGAUGUAUCUAGAUGUAUUUUAGUUCUAGAUACGUCCCUUUUUGUCCAUUUUGAUGACAAGUAUUUUCGGACGGAAGGAGUACGUU